AUCACUUCUCUGCCUUUUGACUAAGAUCAAGUGUAGUAUCUGUUCUUAUCAGUUUAAUAUAUGAUAUGUCCCUUAUCUGGGGAUUAUAUAUUAAAUUGAUUUUUGGAGCAGGGAGAUGGAAUAGGGUCUUGCUCCAUCCACUCUACUUAUCGACCUGUUACUGCAGUACUUCUAGGAACAGUGCACCUUCC